GAGUCACCUAGACACCCCAGCAAUGUUACAUAUUAAGAGUUAUACACUGUGGAGCUGGACCCCUUGAAGUUCUUUUACCUAUUGGCUAUUAACUUGGACAAGUUAGUUAACCUCUUUGUGCUUCAGUUUCUUCACCUGUAAAAUCGAAGUAAUAAUAUUGUUUGCAUCAUAAAAUUCUUGGUAAAAUUAAAUGCAUCACUGUAUUUAUGGUUUUUAGAAUACUGCCUAGUACCUUGUAAGUGCUAUGCUUUUUCUAUUGUUACAAAUUGAUACUUAGGAUGAAGGGAAGAAGUGUUCCAUAAGGAACAGCUAGAGGACCAGUUUUCCAAUGAGUGAUCAACAAAAAUCUCUUUAAGCUCGCAACUGAACAACAGAAGCUAUAGAGUGACAUGACUUGAGUAACCAAUUUUAGAAGAUCACUCUGAUCCCACAGAAAGUAAUAAUCCUGAUCCCAGGAAGUAAUAAUAUUGUUUGCAUCAUAAAAUUCUUGGUAAAGUUAAAUGCAUCACUGUAUUUAUGGUUUUUAGAAUACUGCCUAGUACCUUGUAAGUGCUAUGCUUUUUCUAUUGUUACAAACUGAUACUUAGUUUGAAGAGAAGAUCUGUGGGAAGGGACUGGAAAGAGUCAAGCACAAAAGCAGAGAAACUGGUUAGAAGACCAUGGGAGCAGUGCACAUGAAAGACUGAUUUGGGCAGUGGAGAUAGAAUGGAAUAUAUUUGAGAUAUAUUUUGAAGGUUGUAGUAGGCUGAAUAAUGUCCUCACACAAAGAUACCUAUAUCCAAAUGUCUGCAAUUUGUGAAUACAUUAUGUUACAUGGCAAAGAGGAAUUUGAAGAUAUAAUCAAACUUACUGACCUUAAAGUCAUAGGGAGAAUAGCUGCAAUUACCCAGGUAGAUCCAAUCUAAUCACAUGAGUUCUUAAAGAAGAGAAUUGUUUCCAGCUGGAAGAAGAAAAGGGCUUCAAAGAGACGAGGUAUAAAGAGAGGUCAGUGAUCCCAAGCUUGAGAAUGAUGUGGCGGAUUGUUGCUCGCUCUCUGUCAGAGGGCCUUGUUUGUAAGGCUGGAGAGAGACUUGAAAAUUUAAGGCAGGCCCCCAGUUAACAGCCAGCAAAGAAAUGGGCCUUAGUCCUACCGCCACAGGAAACUAUAUCCUGCCAACAAUCGAAUGAGCAGGAAGCAAAGCCUUCCGGUAAAAGCCCAGCUGGCUGAUGCCUUAAUUUGGGGUUUGUGAAACCAGGAGCAGAGACACCAACUGAAGCAGCCUAGCUUUCUGAACUACAGAACAGUCCAUCACUCCCUCAGAUCCCUCUAAGACAUCUGCAAAAAGGAACAAUGAUUCUUUUAAAAGCCAGCCAGUCUUCCCGCUGAGCAUGCAAGUUCUGCCACUUAUGGCUGGAGGUUACUUCCUGUGUGCCAUCCUUACCCAACUGAAGGUGUCUGACUGAUGCUCUGUGUUGGCCAAAAGGUACCCUCAGAGAAAAAGAAAGAGGGAUUCACAUGAUAGUAGGUCUGUCCAGAAGUUUCUAGGGCAGCUUAGCCACAUUUCGUGAAGUUUUCUUGGGCACUACUGAACCAAGGAAUAAAAGUUCACCGGUGCAGAAGAACACACAUAUUUUGGCUCUCAUAUCCAGCUGGACUACUAAAUCAACUGGAGACCUCAAAUUGACUAUAUUCUGAAAGAAGAAGCAGACAACAUCUGAAUACACUGCUUUCCUGAAAGUUAGGACCAGUUUUUCUUCCAGCUUUCAUCUCCUUUGGUACCUAGAAUGGUUAAUGCUAUUAUUCAAAUAUAUCAAUCACUAGUGGAUUGGCCAUAAUUCCUCUACUAAAAGUUUGCAAAAGAGAGGGAGAGAGAAUCCCAAGCAGGUGUCAUGUUCAGCAUGGAAGCUGAUGUGGGGCUGGAUUGCACAAACGUGAGAUAAUAACCUGAACUGAAAUCGAGUCUGAUGCUCAACUGCUUAAGCCACCCAGGUACCCCUGAAAUCCAUCUUGGUGAACAAGUUUCCCUGGAUUGUAUUUUGAAUAGGACCCCUAGUGCAGGAGUGGUGACUGAUAUGCAGAGGACAAUGCAGAAGGAUGUCAAUGCUCCCAGCAAAAGUUAGGCUCAGGAACUGGAGGCUGUUUGCUCCUUAGAUAAGAGAGGCUCCAUUUGAAUCAGGAUUCCAGAGGAAAAGCAAGGAUGUACAAUGCCUUCUAGAAGGAGAAUAAGGAGUGGACGUAUCCUGAGAUAGCAAGAGGAACACAUCUUUGCCCCUAACAUCAGCAAGCUGGAGUGCCAGUGCCUUCAAGUAUCAUUGUUAUCAUGUGGUGUCAUUAUUAAUAGUGGCUAAUUGUUUACCCUGUACCUGCUAGGUAACAUGUCCUAAUAAAGGUUACAAAAUCUCA